GUCUACGGCCAUACCACCCUGAACGCGCCCGAUCUCGUCUGAUCUUGGAAGCUAAGCAGGGUCGGGCCUGGUUAGUACUUGGAUGGGAGACCAAAUAGUGGCAUGGAGUAGAAU
rnacentral:rRNA from 1 species